rnacentral:lncRNA from 1 species
AUGGGACUGGUCCUACCUCUUACAUCUCCCUCAGAGCUGCGGGCUGUCUCCUUGUCCCUUGUGGGUAAAUCGUUUCCAUUUUUGGAAGUUCUGGGGUUGCUGGGUCAAUUUGAGCAUUUGCUCCCAGAAGCCAUCCUGGAAAGGGCCCAGGCAUCUGGAGCAGCUCCUCUGUGGAUUUGGUGUCUACAAAGAAAUACUGAAAGCAGAAAAUCAUGAAAGUUUCUGUAAAACAAACAUUGCACCAGUCAAGAGUGCCCUGUUGGCAGCAGCAUCCGGGCAUCUUGGAUAGAGUGACAAAGCAGAAGCAUUUGACCACCAUGCUUGCACAGCACCAGCUGGGUGGGAUACCCAGGUGAACGACACAGGCCUUUGGAGCUGCCACUCAUGUGUGGUCCUAUGUAAAUGGCAAAUGAGAGCUCCAGCACACCAGAAAUCACCUCUAGGGCCCCAAGCUCUGCCUAUAUAUUACAUUUCAUCAGAAAGUCCCAUCUCUUGAAGUGCCCUGGGCUGGGUGAUUUGUGAUAAUGAAUCACGUGGGCCUCCCUCCAACAUGGUGGGCUCUAUGACACCAGCAAGUAACAUGCCAUUGGAAUGCAACCUGCUGAGAGGGACCCAAAGACUAUGCUAAGUCAUCCUUGUGGGUGUGACAAGUUGGCUUCCUUUAGGCAGCAAGAGACUUUGCAUAAACACUUAACUGACCCUUUGUGGUUGUUCUGAUGCAUAAUUUUCACAUAGAAAGAAAAAUUGCCUCUGUACUUUAAAAAAAUAUCAAGCAUGACAUUAAAUAUUGCCAGUUUAAUUUUUUCCUAUAGGGCUGUCUUCUUCAUGGGGUUUGUGGUAUAAUUCUUUGCAGGUUUUAAAAGUACAUAAUCACUUUUGGCAAAUAUAGAUACACAUAUUUCCCCACUAGCAAUAAGUGGAUUAGAUGAUAUUUCAGAUCUAGACAACCCUAAUUAAAUUACUCCUAACUUUACUGGCCUCUGCGGAUUGAUCUCUCUUUGACCUUCACAGCCCAUCAGAAUAAAUGAAAAGAAAGCAUUCUAAUAUUUUUUCA